rnacentral:tRNA from 1 species
GCUGUGGCUCAUCGGUAGUGCACUUGCCUGGCAUGUGUGAGGCACUGGGUUCGAUUCUCAGCAUUGCA